CGGGUGAGUAAUGCCUAGGAAAUUGCCUUGAUGUGGGGGAUAACCAUUGGAAACGAUGGCUAAUACCGCAUAACGCCUACGGGCCAAAGAGGGGGACCUUCGGGCCUCUCGCGUCAAGAUAUGCCUAGGUGGGAUUAGCUAGUUGGUGAGGUAAUGGCUCACCAAGGCGACGAUCCCUAGCUGGUCUGAGAGGAUGAUCAGCCACACUGGAACUGAGACACGGUCCAGACUCCUACGGGAGGCAGCAGUGGGGAAUAUUGCACAAUGGGCGCAAGCCUGAUGCAGCCAUGCCGCGUGUAUGAAGAAGGCCUUCGGGUUGUAAAGUACUUUCAGCAGUGAGGAAGGGGGUGUCGUUAAUAGCGGCAUCUCUUGACGUUAGCUGCAGAAGAAGCACCGGCUAACUCCGUGCCAGCAGCCGCGGUAAUACGGAGGGUGCGAGCGUUAAUCGGAAUUACUGGGCGUAAAGCGCAUGCAGGUGGUUUGUUAAGUCAGAUGUGAAA
rnacentral:rRNA from 1 species